AGCAGCAACUACAACGGUACAACAAUUCCGACUCUUCGUAAUAAUUGAAGAUGAAGAACACGAGGCGUCCCUAGCGUCCCUUCUGGAGAAAGGAGAUGGACAAUCAAGAUUUAGUCUGCAUCAAUUCAAUCGCCUACUGCCCUAUUAUCUCUUCCGAUUCAUUGCUUCACCACUCAACAGUUCAGCGCUUCUCUUGCCCUCUCUCUCGAUAAAUCAAUAGCUUCUCCAGUUCUCAUAUAUUCUUCUUUCUUUCUUUCUUGAAUCGUCCUCUACUAAAUGUCUGAAUCGUCCCUACUAGUUUAUCUAUUGCUCUAAUUCUAUUGUGCUAAAGACUUAAAGUGAAGAUUCAAAGGUGGAUACAGCGAUUGAAUGAAUUCUUCUCCUCCUAAGGUCCUAAUCCGUUUUUUUAUUAAGGUUCCUGGAGUCUGGAGAAGUGAAAUUUUCGAUCCAACUCAUCCAAAAUUGCAGACUUGCAGUGUUGUUGAUCCUGGAUUACACUAAGCUUCAUUAAUUUUCCAGGUAAUUUCUUUCUUCUCUUGUGAUUUAUGAUCAAAUUAAGUUGCUGAUAUUUUUAGUUAAUUUCUGAAAUAAAGUUAUCACAAUUGCUGGAAAUCUGAUGUAGUGAUAUGUAUGAACCUGAUUUUGAUUUUUCUGAGAUGUGAAUUCAUUCUGAAUAAUUGGAUUUAUAUAAUCUGUUGAUUUCUGAAUUUUUGAAAAUCUAAUGGUUUUCUGAAAUCUGAAUAAUCUUAUUGUGAUGUGUCUAAUAAGUGCAAUGAUACUGUACAAAUAAGUGCAAUGAUACUGUACAAAUCUCUUUUAGCUCAUAUUGUCAAGGGAUGAGAUUUUUCUGAUUUGAUAGUUCAAUGCCUUCCUUCACUAUUGAUAUUCCAGAAUUGAUCAAGUUGUUCACUUUGAAGAUCGUGGGAGGGUAAGCACUUCAAGAUUACUUCUAUGAUGAGGCAUGACUAGGUUUUAUGAUCCUUAAAUAAUAUUAAAGUUGUAUAGAACAAUUUAUCAUGUGGUUUUUAGUCUUAAUGAGAUUUUUAAUUUGUCUAAAUAUGAUUUUGUAAAUAAAAAGAUGUGUUUAGUUUGUUUUAGAUUUUGUUUUACAUAGUUUUUGUACAUUUAUAGGGGCAUUGUUAAGCCUCAUGGCCCAGGGCAACAAAAACCUAUGGACCGGCCCUGUACAAGCCCUUUAAAUGCAAAAAAUAGUCACGGUGGACCAUUUAAAAUAAUAUACGAAAGAUAGUUGGGCUACAGUAACAAUUUUCCUAAAAAAUAAAAUAAUUGUUUUGACCUUUUAAAUUUUUCUAUGAAAAGUUUUAUAUAUUUUUAGUCAUAUUUUAUAACGGUGACAGAUUUGUAUAAAAACAAAACUAUUUUAGCCAAAUAUUACCGAUUCAAGAGACAACAUAUUUUGUUGAAUAACUUAUUAUAUUUUCUUUCUUAAAUCAAUUAUUUUAGAAUUUAAAAUGUUUUGGAAAAAAAAUUAUGAACCAAAAGGCAGACAUUAAAUUGUUAUUUUUGUUUUACUAUUAUAUCUUAUGAAAUAUUGUGUUAUUAUUAGUCUUUUGGGUUAGUAUCUUAAAAAGUGGUAAUAAGAGGAAUCGAACUUUAUGUUUGUCUAGAUGAAAAAAAAACGCCUUUACCAAGUGGGAGUUUGGGAUGCCUUUUAAAAUGAAUUAUUAGUUUAUUGGGUUUUCAAAAAGCCAAUAAGUUAAAAAAUUGCUUUGUAAAAACACUAACUUUAUAGGAAAAAAAGGGUUUCUCCAAAAAACCAUGAAUUCCUAACUUUUCAAAAAGCCAAUAAAUACUUUGAGAAUCAAUCCCAAACAUGCUAACCAGACGACACCUUGAUAAAUACUUUAAAAUGAAGAAGUAAUUUUGGUCCCCAAUUGCCGUGAGGGCCUAUUGGGAUGGGCCUAUCCAAACACCCAUUUAGGUAGAGGUGCACAAAAUUAGGGUAGAUGUGCACAAAAAACCGGUUCAUGAUCCGAAACCGGUUUGGAUGAAAUCGGUUCGGUUUGAAAUAGACCUACUAUCGGUUUGGACCUGUUUAAAGUUCUAGCCAUUAAAAUAGGUUUGGGACCGGUUUGACAGAAACAUGCUUUGAUGCAUAAAUAUUUAGCAUGGAGGUUAAUAUACUUUCUAGUUUCUAUUGUAAGCAAACUUCAAGCAGAGGCACCAAAAUAUCAGGACACCAGAAACUCCAAGUGAGGGUAAAAUGGUCAAUAUAAGGAAAACACUCCCCACAGCAAUCUUGGCAACAAACAGCAAAUUCAGAAAAUCCAAGUGAGGGUAGUUUUUUUCCCAGUAGCUGCAGAAAGCACAUUAGAGUGGGAUUUCUUCUUCUUUAUGUCCCCUGUAACGAGAAUCAAGACACAAACAGUGGCGGAUUUAGUGCAUCACAAGUGGGGUUUUGAUCCGGUUUGUAUACAGUUUCAAUCUGAUCAGGUUUCAGCUUAAACCGGUUUUGAGUUUGUUGACUUAAACCCAACUGGUAUUACAACCAAUCCAAUUUCCAAAAAAAAAAAAAAAUACUGUUUGUGUACCUCUACAUUUAGGUGUUAAACAAAAUUGGCAAAUUCGUUUCCAUUUAUUUGUUAUUAAACCUAUAAAAAACAGAUGUCUCAAUCUCUGAACAUCUAA